AGAGCUCAAUUUGAAAUCGCACCCUGCUGCAGUUGUAAAUUGCAGGUGGGAGAGUCUGCGUAGGCCGGUGUCGAAGUCCCUUGGAACAGGGCGCCACUGAGGGUGAAAGCCCCGUGCGAUGCCACGCUCUACGUUUUGUACUCCCCUCUGACAAGUCAAGUUGUUUGGGAAUGCAGCUCUAAGUGGGUGGUAAAUUCCAUCUAAGGCUAAAUACUGGCAAGAGACCGAUAGCGAACAAGUACUGUGAAGGAAAAAUGAAAAGCACUUUGAAAAGAGAGUGAAACAGCACGUGAAAUUGUUGAAAGGGAAGGGUAUUGGGCCCAACAUGGGAAUCGCGCACCGCUGCUCCUUGUGGGCGGCGCUCUGGGCUUUUCCUGGGCCAGCAUCGGUUCUUGCUGCAGGAGAAGGGGCUGUGGAAUGUGGCUGCCGCGCUUUGCCGGGGCAGUGUUAUAGCCACUGGGCCAGAUGCUGCGUGUGGGGACCGAGGACUGCGGCCGCAA
rnacentral:rRNA from 1 species